rnacentral:rRNA from 1 species
UAAAAUUUAUGAAAUUAAAAAAUUUUGGCGGUAUUUUAAGCUUAUUAGAGGAAUUUGCUCUGUGAUGGACACAACGCCUUAAUCUUACUUAAUUUAGUAAUUUAAAUCAGUUUGUAUACCACUAUAUUAAUUAUAUUGAAUAGUUAUAUUUAAAAUUUUUUUAAAAAAAAUAUAUUAAGUCAAGGUGCAUCUAAUAAUUAUGAAUGAAGUGAAUUACAUUAAUUUUAAUGUAAUUUUUUACAUGAAAAAAUUAAUUAGGAUUUAAUAGUAAAAUACUAAUAUUAUGAGUAUUUGAAUCAAGCUCUAAAAUAUGCAC